CCUUAAAUAACUCAUCUCCUCAUCAUCACUUUUUUUCCAAAACCACACCAUAGAAGCUACAACAUCAUCCAUACUAACAUAAACAAUAACACAAUUUUCCUAUUCAUCAUCAACACCAAAUCAAAGUUUUUUGUCACUCUUCAUCACCAUUCCCCAACUUCAUCUUCUUCAACCAACACAACAUCGAAAACAACAACAAUAUCACAAAUCUCUUAACCGCACAACCACU
rnacentral:lncRNA from 1 species